rnacentral:rRNA from 1 species
UACGUAGGCAGCAAGCGUUGUUCGGAAUUACUGGGCGUAAAGCGCGUGUAGGCGGCAAGGCAAGUCGGAUGUGAAAGCCCACGGCUCAACCGUGGAAGUGCACCCGAAACUGCCUAGCUAGAGUCUCGGAGAGGAAGGUGGAAUGCUUGGUGUAGAGGUGAAAUUCGUAGAUAUCAAGCGGAACACCGGUGGCGAAGGCGGCCUUCUGGACGAUGACUGACGCUGAGACGCGAAAGCGUGGGGAGCAAACAGG